AUUGAACGCUGGCGGCAGGCCUAACACAUGCAAGUCGAACGAGUGGCGUACGUGAGAGUUAUGACUGGGACAGUGCCUGAUGGAGGGGGUUAGCUACUGGAAGCUGUAGCUAAAACCGCCUACAAUCGGCUGUGUCCAGUUGGGAUUAGCGAGUUGGUGGGGUAACGGCUCACCAAGGCGACUAUCCCGAGCUGGUCUGAGAGGAUGACCAGCCACACUGGAACUGAGACACGGUCCAGACUCCUACGGGAGGCAGCAGUGGGGAAUAUUGCACAAUGGGCGAAAGCCUGAUGCAGCCAUGCCGCGUGUGUGAAGAAGGUCUUCGGGUUGUAAAGUACUUUAAGUGGGGAGGCGUUACCAGCAGAAGAAGCACCGGCUAACUCCGUGCCAGCAGCCGCGGUAAUUC
rnacentral:rRNA from 1 species